rnacentral:lncRNA from 1 species
AGAUUAUGAGCUGGCAAUGCAAGAUCAAAACACAUAAAAUCUUCGUCCUCACGAGCCUAUUUAAGGCCUUAUUAUAGUACUCUUUUUACACACAUUAUAAACCACCUACAUUUCCCUUCAUUUCACAUCACAACUCCAUUGUUUUUUUACUCAAAAUGCAUUCUACCGCUCUGUUCUUCACUGCAUUGUUGCUUCUCCUCCUCGUCCUUUCUCCUCCGGUGCUUGUCCCCCACGGACUUAAUCGUGUUUCGGGCGUGGUUUGUGCUGCCACUAGGCCUGUGGGCAAAAAAUCUCGAGAUGCUUACGUGACAUUUAAUCCUGGGGAUAAACGUUACACUGGUAAAGAAGGAACGCAAGGCCGUGGCUAUGAGAAUUGUAUGCCUAAAGGCUUUCGACGUAGCUCUGCACCGAGUCGAUACAUAAAUGAUCAUACAUUUGGUUCUAGUUUGUGCUCUUCUAGCAAAGAUGAAAGCAAGCCAUGAUGGUUUAUUGGUGUUGGGGGGUAUGUGGUGAAAAAAUCAAAUCGAUUUUAAAAUGUAUUUAUAUAUAUAUUUAUCUGGGAAAUGCUUCUUGCAUACCUGCAUAUGAAACUUCAGUGUAAAAUUAUUUGAUUGUAUCUAAUUAUCCAUGCUCAGUUGUCGGUAUUUAUUCUUGGUCGU